rnacentral:rRNA from 1 species
ACGCGCGGAACCUUACCAGGUCUUGACAUCCCGCUGACCGUCCUGGAGACAGGAUUUUCCCUUCGGGGACAGCGGUGACAGGUGGUGCAUGGUUGUCGUCAGCUCGUGUCGUGAGAUGUUGGGUUAAGUCCCGCAACGAGCGCAACCCUUGAUCUUAGUUGCCAGCAUUCAGUUGGGCACUCUAAGGUGACUGCCGGUGACAAACCGGAGGAAGGUGGGGAUGACGUCAAAUCAUCAUGCCCCUUAUGACCUGGGCUACACACGUGCUACAAUGGAUGGUACAAAGGGCUGCAAGACCGCGAGGUUUAGCCAAUCCCAUAAAACCAUUCUCAGUUCGGAUUGCAGGCUGCAACUCGCCUGCAUGAAGCUGGAAUCGCUAGUAAUCGCGGAUCAGCAUGCCGCGGUGAAUACGUUCCCGGGCCUUGCACUCACCGCCCGU